GACGAACGCUGGCGGCGUGCUUAACACAUGCAAGUCGAACGGAAAGGCCUGCUUUCCCUUGUGGAUUGCGGGUACUCGAGUGGCGAACGGGUGAGUAACACGUGAGUGAUCUGCCCCCAACUUGGGUAUAAGCCCGGGAAACUGGGUCUAAUUCCCGAUAGGACUGCAGGGUGGUGCCUGUGGUGGAAAACGAUUUUCUAGUGGUUGGGGAUGAGCUCGCGGCCUAUCAGCUUGUUGGUGGGGUAAUGGCCUACCAAGGCGGCGACGGGUAGCCGGCCUGAGAGGGUGGACGGCCACAUUGGGACUGAGAUACGGCCCAGACUCCUACGGGAGGCAGCAGUGGGGAAUAUUACACAAUGGGCGGAAGCCUGAUGCAGCGACGCCGCGUGGGGGAUGACGGCCUUCGGGUUGUAAACUCCUUUCGACCGCGAGGAAGCCACCUGGUUGGAAGGGUGGUGACGGUAGUGGUAGAAGAAGCACCGGCUAACUACGUG
rnacentral:rRNA from 1 species